rnacentral:rRNA from 1 species
AGCGAACGCUGGCGGCAGGCCUAACACAUGCAAGUCGAACGGAACCUUCGGGAUUAGUGGCGGACGGGUGCGUAACACGUGGGAACGUGCCCUUUGGUUCGGAACAACUCAGGGAAACUUGAGCUAAUACCGGAUGUGCCCUUCGGGGGAAAGAUUUAUCGCCAUUGGAGCGGCCCGCGUCUGAUUAGCUAGUUGGUGAGGUAACAGCCCACCAAGGCGACGAUCAGUAGCUGGUCUGAGAGGAUGAUCAGCCACACUGGGACUGAGACACGGCCCAGACUCCUACGGGAGGCAGCAGUGGGGAAUCUUGCGCAAUGGGCGAAAGCCUGACGCAGCCAUGCCGCGUGAAUGAUGAAGGUCUUAGGAUUGUAAAAUUCUUUCAGCGGGGACGAUAAUGACGGUACCCGCAGAAGAAGCUCCGGCUAACUUCGUG